AAAUAAGGAUGGAAUUAAAAUAAAAUUGUAUAAUAAGUGAAAGCCCCAAGUUUUUUGUAAUUCCAAGGAGGCAUAAUCACUUGAUAUGUCCAUAUGUACCAAACUAGACACCAAAUCCUACAUUUCAAGCUAAGAAAAGUCCUAUAAUGAUCUUAUCUUGACUAUUUGAAAACUAAUGUAAAGAAAAUAAGGGAAAGCCUAUGAUAUUUGAUGCAUAUUGAUUGGAACAUCUCUUCUGAGUGUGUGUCUCUCUUGACUGUCCCUGUAUUGACAUGCAUUAUUUCAUAUGAGUGAGUGGGACCUCUUUGUUGUGAGGGCACAUGACUCAUAUUGCUAGUUGUCUACACACUUGAGUAGUAUAACUUAUACAUAUGCAUUUUUGUUUGUUGCUAAUGUAGUGCCAUACCUUGAUCCCAUUGUCUCACAUUGUUGUAUUUCAUGUUUAUACACAGUUGGUUUUGAAAAUUUGAGAAAGGAGGGGGGUGUUGUGAUUUACUCUUAAAGUGUUGAUUAACUUCCACAAAAAACUUAUGAUUCUCCUAAUUAAGCUUCGUAUUU
rnacentral:lncRNA from 1 species